AUUGAACGCUGGCGGCAUGCCUUACACAUGCAAGUCGAACGGUAACAGGUCUUCGGAUGCUGACGAGUGGCGAACGGGUGAGUAAUACAUCGGAACGUGCCUAGUAGUGGGGGAUAACUACUCGAAAGAGUGGCUAAUACCGCAUGAGAUCUACGGAUGAAAGCAGGGGAUCGCAAGACCUUGUGCUACUAGAGCGGCCGAUGGCAGAUUAGGUAGUUGGUGGGAUAAAAGCUUACCAAGCCGACGAUCUGUAGCUGGUCUGAGAGGACGAGCGGCCACACUGGGACUGAGACACGGCCCAGACUCCUACGGGAGGCAGCAGUGGGGAAUUUUGGACAAUGGGCGAAAGCCUGAUCCAGCAAUGCCGCGUGCAGGAUGAAGGCCUUCGGGUUGUAAACUGCUUUUGUACGGAACGAAAGGCCCUGGGUUAAUACCCUGGGGUCAUGACGGUACCGUAAGAAUAAGCACCGGCUAACUACGUGCCAGCCGCCGCCGUAA
rnacentral:rRNA from 1 species